UUAUUGAAAAUGUAAAUUUUUUACUAGGAUUAUUAAUAGUUAUGUUCUUUAAAAUUAAAAAAUUUGGCGGUAUUUUAGUCUAUUCAGAGGAACCUGUUUCUUAAUCGAUAGUCCACGAUGAUUAGUACUUUUGCUUUAAAUUUAUAUAUCAUCGUUUAUAAAAAUUUUAGGAGAAUUAAAAUUUUUAGGAUUUUUCAUUUGAAAGUAAUUCAGAUCAAGGUGUAGUUUAUGCUAAAGAUGGAAUGGGUUACAUUAUAUUUAUAUGUGGUUUUUAUUUUUUGAAUUUAAAAUAAAUUGGAUUUGACAGUAAAUUUCUUAUCUUUGGAUUUUGAUUUAGCUCUAAAAUAUGC
rnacentral:rRNA from 1 species